rnacentral:rRNA from 1 species
CACGUAGGGUGCGAGCGUUGUCCGGAAUUAUUGGGCGUAAAGAGCUCGUAGGCGGUGUGUCGCGUCGGCCGUGAAAACCUGCAGCUUAACUGUGGGCUUGCGGUCGAUACGGGCAUCACUGGAGUUCGGCAGGGGAGACUGGAAUUCCUGGUGUAGCGGUGAAAUGCGCAGACUAGUCAGGAGGAACACCGGUGGCGAAGGCGGGUCUCUGGGC